AUGAAAAUUUGUAAUAGUCACCGAACCAAAUAAUUUUGACCAACCAAUACCUAUCAGCUACAAACAGUGGCUUUGUCAGGCACAAAUUUAUUAUAAAAAACGGUGCCGUUUUGCCCCAACUACGGACUAUCUGAAAAAUGAUGCCUUAAGAAUUUCCAAAAAUUUUCAAUCUCACCCUCUCGCUUUCCCUCUCCCUCUCCCUUGAUCUCCGACCUCACUUCCUUUUCCGAUGGAGUCCAAGAUUUCGACUCCGAGGGAGACGACCACCACUGCAAACACACCAGCCACCAAUAGAUUAGCCAUGGACCUCUUCUCCGACCUGCUAUAUGCCCACCCGCUUUGGUUCAAGCCUACUCUCUUUCUCUCGCAAAAUUUCCAUUCUGAAUCCUUACGAGCAUUCAAUUUCGCUCCAUUCCACACUCUUCGAUUCGAUCUCCAGAGUCAAUGCGUGCGCCAUAACUCAGGGAGAAGAGCGAGCAGUUUGGGGGUUCGGUGGAGUGCGAGCUUGGGGCUUUGAAGAAUUGUUUGAAAUACGGAUCGGAGGCUGCCUCUGCUAGAGAAGCUUGGAGCUUUUGCUUGAUACGUUUCACGUGGUCUCUAAGAUAUGCGUUUCAUUUCUCAUUUUCAUUUUAAUUUUGUUUUUUUUGGUCUAAGGUAUCCAUGAUAUGUUUCUCAUUUCCAAAAACAGUGCCGUUUUUGCUCAAUACGUUUCACAUGGUCUCUAAGGUAUCCAUGGAUAUGUUUUGGUCUACGAUUGCACAUUCAUUUUAAACUGAACUAGUGUGUUUGAAAACAGAAGAUAGGCGUUCAGCGUUUUCAGAGGAAAACAGUGAGGGUUGCUCUGAUUUAUAGAACAGGGGCUGUAUAAGUUUGUGUGCCUGUAAUUCCUCUUUUUAAUUAACGAAAUUUGGUUUCUUGUUUGCUUAUCUCAUUGAUAUAUGCUUUCUAAAUUCCUUGUUCUUGUUGUAACAUUUGGUUGCUGCUUUCCUUAAUUUUGACUUAAAUCUGAUAUGUAAGCCUGCUGUCAAGCCUGUAUGUUAGCUGUUGAUUUAUCAUCUUGUAGAAAUAUAUUAGCUUGUGUAUAGAUCAGAUUGAAUAUAUUGCUGGUUUGUUGUUGGAUGGCUUGAUAUAUUGGUUUGUUAUUGUGAGCUAGCUUCUAGGAAGUCUAACCAAAAUCAUGCUGUUUGGCAAGGAGAAGGUGAUAGUGCCUGAAAACAAAACAAAUUUGAUAUUGGAAGGCAAGGGCUAUCUCAACACAUUUCUAUCAUGGAAUGAAACUGCAGGGUCAAGAAGAGGGACAUUUUAUCGUUUUUCGGUUAACAUCCCAGCUUCUAACUUCAUUGCCUACAAUCUUAGCUUUCAGGUAUAUUAUUGGCAUUAAUACUAUUUACUUUGAAGAUUGCUUCAUUCAAGGCUCCAUCGAUUUCAUUUUUGGAAAUGGAAGAUCACUGUAUUAGGUACAAAACAUUGCUCCUAAACUUUCUCUUAGAGUCAUAAUUGAAGAAUUUGAUAUUUUGUAUUUGAUUCAAAACCAUGUUUUGCAUGGUCACAAAAGAGAGAACAAAAUAGAUAUAGAUUAUACACAACACAACUAAAGAAUCAUCGUUUAAUUUCACAAUUAUAGGCUAUUACCAUAUAAAGAAUAAGAGGUCAACUAAUAAACAAUAUCACAAAGAAAUUCUUUCUUCUUUCCAUUGGUAGAGCUUUGUGUAUGAUAGGAUUCUCUUGAGCUGAUUGUGUGUUAAUCAGCUCCUUGGCAGGGCAUAUUAACCUCCUUGACAGUGGUAGCUUCUUUUUGAUGCUGAGUUAUUAACGAAACACAAUGCUAAUCUUCCUUCUACUUAUCUAUAACUGCUGUAAUUUAGUCUAUAACUUGAAGAUAAAUAUGUGUAGUUACUACCAGCUAGCAGACUUGUCUCUUGUAACAGUGUCGUCUAUAUGUACCAAAUCUUUUCAUUCAAUGCAUUUGUAUAGUUUUGUGCACUUCUCUUAUCAUUCUCUUAUUGAUAAUCAGCGAGUUAGAUGCAGGGAGAGUUCCAUAGAAAUUCCAAUAACUGAAGAAUGUUAUAUUUUGUUAUUCAGCCUUUGCUGGUGCAAAGAAUGCAGAAAUUAUACCUGCAGCAAACACAUAUGUGGAGGUACCUUUCCAUAUGUAUAUGUAUAUUAUUUAAAUUUGUUUUUGUGUGUGUAUAUAAAUAUAUAUAUAUAUAUAUAUAAAUACAUAUUGUGUUAUCUUCUUUUCGCGAUUCCUUUAUCACAAGAUUCUAUUUCUCUCAAACUUUUGUUAGCCAUAUAAUCAAUUAACAGAUUGGAAGUAUAUAUAUGUUAUAAAAGCCACUACUUUCUGAUUUAUUUUUAUUUUUAUUUUUUAUUUUUUAUAUUUCCUUUGAUGAUAAUCAUUUGAGAAAUCAUUUAUGCUUGAAGGUAUUCCAUCAUUUGAGAAAUCAUUUAUGCUUGAAGGUAUUCCUGUGAUAAAUUGUGAGUAAUCUUAUUAAGACACCACUGAUCUACUACUCAUUACUAUUGUUCAAAUUUAUCAAAUUGAAGGGUUUAUGGUCAUAUGUCAAUUUUGUGUAUCUCUGGUUUGUUGUAUUCAAAGUGUUGUUGAUCAUAUUAGGAUAGAAAGAGAGACGGGAUAUGGAGGGCUUGGCGUUGAUAUAUUAUAGGUUCUAAAUUGAAAACAGUAGGAAAAUGACUUAGCUAGGUUGUGGUUAUUUAAGAAUGGUGUUUGGUUUUUCAUUAUACAUAUAAAUUUUAUUUGGGCAUUGAAUUUUCUUUAAUUGUUAGUUGUAAAUCUUGCUUAUAUAUCUGUUACUUUUAAAUUACAACUUUAGCUAAUAAAUUAUCCCCUUGCGCAACUCAUUAGAAUGUGUUUUUUUAAAAAAAAAAAAAGAAAAGAAAAAAACCUUUAGCUAAUUAAUAUUAGCACCACUAUAUAUAUAAUAAUAUUGAUUAUUAUAAGAUCAAUUUUUGUUAGGGGAACAAAGAAGAGGUGGCAAUGCUUGGCAGGUAUGCCGACUUAUAGAUGGUUUAUAUAGAUAAUUAAAAAAAUUCAUGUUCCUUUUUUAUUUGGCAGAGGUUGGACAAUGGACCAUUUCUGUUACUACAAUACUAUUCCUACUUGUUAAUGUGGGACCUAGUAUGUUUAUAAUAAAAGACAAGUGGUUGGGAAGCUGAGGGAAUUGAAAAAGAGGUUGGAAUGCUUGGUAGGAUCCUUGGAGAAUAUGUUAAUGAAUUGCAUUGGAAGAUGGAGAUUGUAAAGAUUUAGUGGGUAUAGGCAACCAUUUUGUAUAUAUAUUUUUCCCCUAGAGUUGCAAAUUGUUUUUGUUUACAUUUUCCUUUUAGUGUAAUCUUAUUGUAUUUGCUACACAUUAUAUUUGUAUUAGUUGGUGUUUAAUGAAUUUUGUAGUACAAGUUAAAUGUUUAAUAAAGUAUUAUUCUUUUAUGCA